CCCCCCCCCCCCCUCCAAAGCAAGAAACAGUUCAUCCCCCACAUUAUAUAAUAUGUGGAUGUUAUUCAUUUCAACAUACAAUGAAGAGAUCAAGUCCCUCAAAAAACAAAAAGUUGAAUUAGUCAUGGUGAGCUACAUUACAGUAAAAUGCAGUCAGUCAAAUUAAUGAUACUACAUUCACACCACAAAAAAGACAGGAAAUAUAGUGGCUUGAGACAAACAUAAACAUAUCUGUUUCAAAGUAAGUGAUGGCCAAUAAAAGGUCACAACACUUUUGUAAACCAAUGAACAGCUUUACUUUGUAUGUUCUUUAAACACUGAACAGCUAAACUAUACUUUGUAUGUUCUUUA